AGGACGAACGCUGGCGGCGUGCUUAACACAUGCAAGUCGAGCGGUAAGGCUCCUUCGGGAGUACACGAGCGGCGAACGGGUGAGUAACACGUGAGCAAUCUGCCCUUCACUCUGGGAUAACCCCCGGAAACGGGAGCUAAUACCGGAUACGACCACCUCAGGCAUCUGAUGGUGGUGGAAAGUUCCGGCGGUGAAGGAUGAGCUCGCGGCCUAUCAGCUUGUUGGUGAGGUAAUGGCUCACCAAGGCUUCGACGGGUAGCCGGCCUGAGAGGGUGACCGGCCACACUGGGACUGAGACACGGCCCAGACUCCUACGGGAGGCAGCAGUGGGGAAUAUUGGACAAUGGGCGAAAGCCUGAUCCAGCAACGCCGCGUGAGGGAUGACGGCCUUCGGGUUGUAAACCGUCUUUCAGCAGGGACGAAGCGAAAGUGACGGUACCUGCAGAAGAAGCACCGGCCAACUACGUGCCAGCAGCCGC
rnacentral:rRNA from 1 species